rnacentral:rRNA from 1 species
CCCUUAGACGUUCUGGGCCGCACGCGCGCUACACUGACCAGUGCAACAAGCAUCCGUCCUUGGCCGACAGGCCCGGGCAAUCUUUGAACGCUGGUCGUGAUGGGGAUAGACUUUUGCAAUUUUUGGUCUUCAACGAGGAAUUCCUAGUAAACGCAAGUCAUCAACUUGCAUUGAUUACGUCCCUGCCCUUUGUACACACCGCCCGUCGCACCUACCGAUUGAAUGGUCCGGUGAAGCCUCCGGAUUGGCGCGCACCUCGGUGCCGCCGAGAAGUUGGCUAAACCUUACCAUUUAGAGGAAGUAAAAGUCGUANCA